rnacentral:rRNA from 1 species
GAUGAACGCUAGCUACAGGCUUAACACAUGCAAGUCGAGGGGAAACGACAUCGAAAGCUUGCUUUUGAUGGGCGUCGACCGGCGCACGGGUGAGUAACGCGUAUCCAACCUGCCCAUCACUUGGGAAUAACCUUGCGAAAGUAAGACUAAUACCCAAUGAUAUCCCACGAAGGCAUCGGAAUGGGAUUAAAGAUUUAUCGGUGAUGGAUGGGGAUGCGUCUGAUUAGCUUGUUGGCGGGGUAACGGCCCACCAAGGCAACGAUCAGUAGGGGUUCUGAGAGGAAGGUCCCCCACAUUGGGACUGGGACCCGGGCCAAACUCCUACGGGAGGCAGCAGUGAGGAAUAUUGGACAAUGGGCGAGAGCCUGAACCAGCCAAGUAGCGUGCAGGAAGACGGCCCUAUGGGUUGUAAACUGCUUUUAGAAGGGAAUAAAGUGGGUCACGUGUGACUUUUUGCAUGUACCUUAUGAAUAAGGACCGGCUAAUUCCGUG